UACGUAGGGUGCGAGCGUUAAUCGGAAUUACUGGGCGUAAAGCGUGCGCAGGCGGUAAUGCAAGACAGAUGUGAAAUCCCCGGGCUUAACCUGGGAACUGCAUUUGUGACUGCAUUGCUGGAGUGCGGCAGAGGGGGAUGGAAUUCCGCGUGUAGCAGUGAAAUGCGUAGAUAUGCGGAGGAACACCGAUGGCGAAGGCAAUCCCCUGGGCCUGCACUGACCGCUCAUGCACGAAAGCGUGGGGAGCAAACAGG
rnacentral:rRNA from 1 species